CCGAGCCGGGUAAACUGUGAAAUGCCAGGACAGGAAGGUGGCUGCACCCUGUGGGAGGCAGGGCUCCUCUCUGACGUGGUGGCAGAGCAGCCGUGCUCCUGCUGGGCUGGCCACUACCGCGUUUCCCUCGGCCCUCGGCCCGUGGAGGCCAUGCUCGGCUGACGCUGAAGGUGAGUCAGGCACGGUGGCGACGGGAGUGCAGGGAUGCACGCUCGUGAUAGAGGCCUAGGCAUUGAGUGGGCUGUGGUACUGGCUCGGUGCUGGACCAGGAGGAGACAUGCCCCUCGCAGCUCAUCAGCAUCGGCUGUGGGGCGGCAGAAAGGAUUUAGUGAGACCCCAGCACGCUGCAGGGCGGGACUGCUGGCGGAGGGACCGGGUCAGACCCUGACUCCUCCCAGCCUGAGCCGACCAAAAAUGCAGGUAUUUUGUGCACAACCUUGGCAGGGGACAGGAGCAGGGCGGCCAACUACAGCCCACAGCCCCGCUGCCCAUCUGGUUCCUCCAGCUGCUUCCUGCGGCCGGGUCUGGGUCGGGGGGUGGCGAGGGCUGGCUGCCCUGAUACCCUGGUGCUGCCCGGGACUAGGAGGGGCACUGAGAGCCGGUGGGUGGGGGUGAACCUCUUCCUCCCCGUGGGGGCACUUGCAGGCAAGCCCCAGGCAGUGCUGGUCACCAGGGUCUCUGUGCUGGGACUUUCUGUGGCCCUGAUUUGAAGGCUGAGCCCUCCCCCACCCCCACCAUCCUAUCCCAAGGAACACAGAUCACCUAAGUUCAUUCUCACGCAUUCUCAUCAUGAACCCCAUUUACAGUUCAUCUGAUUGCUUCAGAGGCAACCAGGUCAGGGAGGCAGGGGUCAGCGGCUGGGAGGUCAGAGGUGACCAGGGAGUCAGCAUCCUGACCCAGGGCUGGCACCAUCCCUUCUGGUGUUGCUUUGGGGUGAGUGGCACAACUUGGUGCAACGAGCUGGAAUUCUGGCCUCAGACUGCCCACGUCCGAGUCCCGGUUCUGUCUGUGUCCUUGGACAGGUAGCUUACCCUCCCUCAGUUCCUCAUCUGGAAAGUGGGCAUGAUGACCAUCCCACCUCAGGAGAGUCUGUGGGAUUAACCGAGGUGACGUGGUACCUGGGCUUGUAAAUGGUGGCCCGAUCAUGGAGACAGGGUCGAGUGGGUUGGAGAACGGCUACCUUGGAGCCAGACCUGCGUUGCUGGCCUGCAGAGACCCCUUCCGGCUGGGGUCCUAGGGAGGCACAAGUCCGGCACAUAGCAGCACCUCUCUGGAGGUGACGGGGCUGCACCUCUGUCCCCACACUCGCAGCACCUGCCUGGAAGCUGCUGCUCCCUGGCCCCUCAGCCGCCCAAAUGGGUGCAUCUGGCACGGGGUGGUCUCAGCCCAUGAAUGCUGGGUCCUUGUGUCCCCGGACUAGUUCUUGCACUUUCUUUGCCUGGCCAGGCCUCGGUCAGGACCUGUUCCUGGGUGUAAGGGCCUGGCCUGGACACUGGAGCCCCACCGUCUGCCAGGAGACCUCCCUGGUCCUGGGUCGCCCUGCCCGUGCCCUCAUCCCUCCUGCUGGCUCCCUGCCUGCCUGCCCAGGAGCUUCCUCGUCUGCCCCCUGAGAGCCACUCUGCCUCCCAGCUCCCACCACACUCGGCCCUGCAGGCCCUGACCCUGACCCUCUGGGCAGAGGUUGUGGCCCAUCUUCAGUUACCAGGAGUGCAAGUGCCAGACUCUCACCCUCAGGAAUACGAGCCAUCCAGGCUGGGGACCAGAAGGAGUGGGAGGUGCGGAGGUGCGGCCAGGGGGCACUGGACAGAGCAGGUAGCCCUGGGACACGGCCAAGCCCAGAGAGGGUGGACCGUGGGGCGCUGCCGUGGCCACCUCCGUUCCUCAUGUGGAGAAUGUCCCCCCCAAGCUGACCCAGGCAGGGUGCUGACAGUCCUGUCAAUCCUGAGCUCUGUGGGUGUCAGCCCACCCAGGAAAGUGGUUGACUGGUCAACUGCCAGGCUGCCCCUCACCCCCCCACCCCUGGCACUGCACGAGCCAGUUCCUCCCGACGGAGGGCUUGGCGCCGGCAGAGCUGGUGACAAAGGCUGCUUUGUUCACCUGCAGAAGUAAACACUUCCCCUGGAUAUUUACUCCCGGGACUCGAGUGUAAUGUGGGGUGUAAGUUACUCUUGACAGGCGACUUGAUCCAGGCUACCGCUCUCUUGUACUAAUUUCCUGGAAGAAAAGAGUUCCCACUGACAGCUGGGUGUUCAUUAACCACCCCCUGGGCAGUCGGGGAGAGGCUGGGUGUGGCUGUCACCCGGACCCCAGGUGGUGUGCCCUGAGAACUCGAGUGCCCCGGGGGGCCACCCUCAGCCUCCCCUGAAGCACUAGCAGAACGCUGACUGGCUGACUGGGCAGUGAAACCAGAGGCCAGAGGCUCAGUGGAGCUGUUUCCUCUGUGAGAGCGAAAAAGCCUGCACUUCAGUAGUAGAGUCUGUGCUGAGUCCUGCCAUUGUUCACAGCAGCUGUAACCUGAGCCUGCAGGACAGGUGGGUCCUCUGUGAGCACCUCGCUGUCCCCACAGCAGUCCCUCUGCGGGACUCCUGGACACUUCAGGACACUGGCAGGUCUGCUGUGAUGUUCCCAAUCCACAGAUUUGGACCAAGGCACUGGAAGAUGUUACCAAGGAUGGGCAGCACAGCAGCGGUGUGGUGGCCAUGCGGCGACACCUGUGUGCUC